rnacentral:lncRNA from 1 species
UUUGUUAGCUCGCUGCCCUUUUGCGCUCGGCUCGAACUGGCCAAUCACGUUCUGCAACGAGUGGAAACGCCGCGCGCCAUUGCCGAGGCGUGCGUGGAGAUUUGCGUUGUGCUCGAUCGUACACGUAGGUUUGGUUGUGUGUUUGUGCCCGGCGCCGCUGACUCUUCUCACAAGCGACGUCCACCUCCCGGGCUCGGGGUCUCGGAACAGCGACCAGUGCUCGAGCGCCCCAGGGCCGGGACCCAGCUACUGGCAGAUCCUGAAUAAAUAUCGUUCUUUCCACAUAACACAUUGACAUGCUCUGUCUCCUUUGAUUUGUGUUGUGUUGUAUUUUGGCCGCCUUAUCUGACCUUCCGAAGUGGCAGGAAGGCGUUGUGCCCAGCAAGGAAAUGAACCACCCGAUAUCGCGACGGAGUUCGCGCCGCAGGCCAAUUUGUGUAGGCAGUUCAUUCCUUGCCGAGAUGUUGCUAGUGACAUUGCUGGCGUUCGCACAAUGCAGUUUGCCGACGGCCGUGCAUGGCCUGGGUGUCCCGUACAGUCUGGUGGUGCUCGGACACGACGACCUCGUCAACGACAAGACUGUUCGCAUAUGGGACUCGGACGACAGCACCUGCUUUUCAAUGCCUUCGGAGCUGAACGAAACGAUGGCGUCCGUGCGGCUUUUCCUCGACCCACCAAUAGACGUCGGCCUCGUACGAGUC